UGGGGAAUUUUGGACAAUGGGGGAAACCCUGAUCCAGCCAUCCCGCGUGUGCGAUGAAGGCCUUCGGGUUGUAAAGCACUUUUGGCAGGAAAGAAACGUCAUGGGUUAAUACCCCGUGAAACUGACGUUACCUGCAGAAUAAGCACCGGCUAACUACGUGCCAGCAGCCGCGGUAAUACGUAGGGUGCAAGCGUUAAUCGGAAUUACUGGGCGUAAAGCGUGCGCAGGCGGUUCGGAAAGAAAGAUGUGAAAUCCCAGAGCUCAACUUUGGAACUUCAUUUUUAACUACCGGGCUAGAGUGUGUCAGAGGGAGGUGGAAUUCCGCGUGUAGCAGUGAAAUGCGUAGAUAUGCGGAGGAACACCGAUGGCGAAGGCAGCCUCCUGGGAUAACACUGACGCUCAUGCACGAAAGCGUGGGGAGCAAACAGG
rnacentral:rRNA from 1 species